UGAACGCUGGCGGCGUGCCUACUACAUGCAAGUCGAGCGAACGGACGAGAAGCUUGCUUCUCUAAUGUUAGCGGCGGACGGGUGAGUAACACGUGGAUAACCUACCUAUAAGACUGGGAUAACUUCGGGAAACCGUAGCUAAUACCGGAUAAUAUUUUGAACCGCAUGGUUCAAAAGUGAAAGACGGUCUUGCUGUCACUUAUAGAUGGAUCCGCGCUGCAUUAGCUAGUUGGUAAGGUAACGGCUUACCAAGGCAACGAUGCAUAGCCGACCUGAGAGGGUGAUCGGCCACACUGGAACUGAGACACGGUCCAGACUCCUACGGGAGGCAGCAGUAGGGAAUCUUCCGCAAUGGGCGAAAGCCUGACGGAGCAACGCCGCGUGAGUGAUGAAGGUCUUCGGAUCGUAAAACUCUGUUAUUAGGGAAGAACAUAUGUGUAAGUAACUGUGCACAUCUUGACGGUACCUAAUCAGAAAGCCACGGCUAACUACGUG
rnacentral:rRNA from 1 species